GUGUUUUGCAUCUCCCCAUUACAACUCAUCCCUUCAACGAUUCGCCCGCCCUUCACUGCUCAAACCCUAGAGGCGGCCGAUUUGCAUCUCCAGCCUUCCACCACCGUCGGAAACUACUUGUCAACUUCUUAAUUCGAAAGCUUAAGGCCUGAAGCCUUCUAUUUUGGUGUUGAUCAAAUCCACAUUGAAAAAAGACAAAGUCCUUAAAGCAAUUUGAAGAAGACCUUCAUUUAGCGAUGGAGCAGAUGGUAAGUGUUCUCUACUCGUAUGUAUGGAGCAGAUGGAACAGUAUAAGGAGGGUGUGUGAUGAGAUACAUGAAAGAAAUAGUUGAAUGUGAAAUUCUACAGUUGGAGCAGAUGUUUGCAGGAACAAUCAAGAAUCAAUAUUACAACUAAUCUCAAUAUGAUGAAGUCAGAAGUGAAUGGAGCGAAUUCAUCUACUCGUAUAUAAAUUCCUAAAUGGGGCAUGUGCAUUGAGAUAAAUAAUUUAUUUUACAUUGUCGAUACACUUUUGGUUUUAUGGAUGUAUUGUUUAGUUAUACUUGUGGAUUGAUGGAUAAAUUUGUGGAUUUUUGUUUUUGAAUGGAUAAUUUAUUAAUCUAAUUAAUGCA